rnacentral:lncRNA from 1 species
CUCGGGCUGUCCGUCAACCCACAGCCCAGAGAGGACCCGGUGCCCCCCUCCAGCCACAGGUGGGGGUGGACACUGCUCUGAUGGGGCGAGCACCUGUCUCAGCUUCCAGAUCCAGACUCACAGCCACGCUGCCAAUUCCUGUCUGUGCAAAACAGGACACAGAGCCAUUGAGGAAACAGCCCUGCAGGGCCAGGAGAGAAGCACCAGGCUCUGGAUAAACACUCCGGGUGCCUGCUCCUCGGCACCGAGAUGAGGCCGCAGAGAUGAGGGGCAGCGGGUGAGUCCCGGGCGCGGCCGUUUCUUUUAAAAACGCAGGUACUCACCCCCUCUGGUGGCAGUCGCCGGAAUUGCAGGCACAGCCUCCACGUGGUCAGGCUCCUCC